rnacentral:rRNA from 1 species
CAGCAGCCGCGGGAAUACGGAGGGGGCUAGCGUUGUUCGGAAUUACUGGGCGUAAAGCGCACGUAGGCGGCUUGGUAAGUUAGAGGUGAAAGCCUGGAGCUCAACUCCAGAAUUGCCUUUAAGACUGCCGAGCUAGCAGGUGAGAGAGGUAAGUGGAAUUCCGAGUGUAGAGGUGAAAUUCGUAGAUAUUCGGAAGAACACCAGUGGCGAAGGCGGCUUACUGGCUCAUACUGGACGCUGAGGUGCGAAAGCGUGGGGAGCAAACAGGAUUAGAUACCCCGGUAGUCCCUGUCUCUUAUAC